UACGAAGGGUGCAAACGUUGCUCGGAAUCAUUGGGCGUAAAGCGCGUGUAGGCGGCUUGGCAAGUCAGAUGUGAAAGCCCUCGGCUUAACCGAGGAAGUGCGUCUGAAACUGCUGAGCUUGAGUCUCGGAGAGGAUGGCGGAAUUCCGCAAGUAGAGGUGAAAUUCGUAGAUAUGCGGAGGAACACCGGUGGCGAAGGCGGCCAAUCUGGACGAGUACUGACGCUGAGGUGCGAAAGCGUGGGGAGCAAACAGGG
rnacentral:rRNA from 1 species